AGAUAUACUACACUCAGCUUCUCCUUGAUUCCCUGUAAAUGGAAUAUUGAAGGCUGGGAAAGAGAGGAGGGCAAAAGGCUAAUGUGACAAGAAAAAGAAGAACAAAUAAAGAAGAAUGAACCAUGCAGUAAGCACACAACAUCUAAGGAAGAAAACAGGAACGUUUGCAGCUGCAUGAGGUGCUGUGGUGUGACAUUGAAGCCUG